AGUGAACGCUGGCGGUAGGCCUAACACAUGCAAGUCGAACGGCAGCACAGUAAGAGCUUGCUCUUACGGGUGGCGAGUGGCGGACGGGUGAGGAAUACAUCGGAAUCUACUUUUUCGUGGGGGAUAACGUAGGGAAACUUACGCUAAUACCGCAUACGACCUACGGGUGAAAGUAGGGGAUCUUCGGACCUUGCGCGAUUGAAUGAGCCGAUGUCGGAUUAGCUAGUUGGCGGGGUAAAGGCCCACCAAGGAGACGAUCCGUAGCUGGUCUGAGAGGAUGAUCAGCCACACUGGAAAUGGGACACGGUCCAGACUCCUACGGGAGGCAGCAGUGGGGAAUAUUGGACAAUGGGCGCAAGCCUGAUCCAGCCAUACCGCGUGGGUGAAGAAGGCCUUCGGGUUGUAAAGCCCUUUUGUUGGGAAAGAAAAGCAGCAGGUUAAUACCCCGCUGUUCUGACGGUACCCAAAGAAUAAGCACCGGCUAACUUCGUG
rnacentral:rRNA from 1 species